rnacentral:rRNA from 1 species
CUACGGGUGGCUGCAGUGGGGAAUAUUGGACAAUGGGGGAAACCCUGAUCCAGCAAUGCCGCGUGUGUGAAGAAGGCCUGCGGAUUGUAAAGCACUUUCAAUAGGGAGGAAAAGCUUUGGGUUAAUACCCCGAAGUCUUGACGUUACCUUUAGAAGAAGCACCGGCUAACUCUGUGCCAGCAGCCGCGGUAAUACAGAGGGUGCGAGCGUUAAUCGGAAUUACUGGGCGUAAAGCGCGCGUAGGCGGUUUGAUAAGUCAGAUGUGAAAGCCCCGGGCUUAACCUGGGAACUGCAUUUGAUACUGUCAAACUAGAGUAUGGUAGAGGGUAGUAGAAUUCCUGGUGUAGCGGUGAAAUGCGUAGAUAUCAGGAGGAAUACCAGUGGCGAAGGCGGCUACCUGGACCAAUACUGACGCUGAGGUGCGAAAGCGUGGGGAGCAAACAGGAUUAGAUACCCUCGUAGUC